UUUGCUUAGCUCACUGGCAUUGAUGCAGAGAGGGAAACUCUAUGUUGGAUAUUAUGUGGCUAUGAAGGGGUUCUCUGCUUUGCUUAUCAGCAUUGCAACAUUUCUCCCAUGUUGUGAGAGUCAUGGAUAAAUGUUGCUUCAGAGAAUAAAGAUGGUUUUUCCUUUUCACAGAGACGAAGGAGCUGGUGAUAGUUUUUCUUGGAGAAAUUGAGCUCAUUUGAACAAAUAGGAAUAUCCGAUUGAGCUGGCACCCAUUUGAUCAAAUUGGGGGAUUUGAUUGAGCAAUCAGAGAUCUUUGAAGGAUUGAGCUCCGGUGUGAUUGUGGAAUCCCUGAAGGUGGUUAGCUUGCAAGGAUUUGCCUCAAUUUUGGAGCCUAACCUCUGCAGAAUUGUGAGUCAAAUUUUGACUAUUUACUGAUUAUAGUUGAAUUUUGGUUGAGACUAGAUGCGGUUAGAUGAAUCUCUUCAAUAUGUUUAUCAAUUCAGUGAAGCAUCAUCUUGCUUUUAAUAGUUCUGUUAUUCAAAUACUCAUGUCAUUCAUUCAUCAAA